rnacentral:rRNA from 1 species
GCAAGAUUAAAACUCAAAGGAAUUGACGGGGCCCCGCACAAGCAGUGGAGCAUGUGGUUUAAUUCGAUGCUACGCGAAGAACCUUACCAGGACUUGACAUCCCGCUAAAAGCUUAUAGAAAUAUUUUGCCCCCUUCGGGCAGCGGUGACAGGUGGUGCAUGGCUGUCGUCAGCUCGUGCCGUGAGGUGUUGGAUUAAGUUCCGCAACGAGCGCAACCCUCGUCGUUAGUUGCCAUCAUUAAGUUGGGCACUCUAGCGAGACCGCCAGCGUCAAGCUGGAGGAAGGUGGGGACGACGUCAAGUCAUCAUGCCCCUUACGUCCUGGGCUACACACGUGCUACAAUGGCUGGUACAACGGGUUGCAACUUCGCGAGGAGAAGCGAAUCCCUUAAAGCCAGUCUCAGUCCGGAUUGGAGGCUGCAACUCGCCUCCAUGAAGCUGGAAUUGCUAGUAAACGUGGAUCCGCAUGCCGCGUUGAAUACGUACCCGGGGCUUGUACACACCGCCCGUCACACCACGGAAGUUGGAGACACCCGAAGUCCGCAGGCCAACC